UUCCUGUUUAGCUUAGGACUAAUGUAGUUGCUGGGUCACAAAGGAUGGAGGGGAAAAGAGGUAUGCAUGUGAGCACGUGUGUGGAUAAACUAAGAUGAAGAAAGGGAACACAGUCUGUGCUGCGGGCUCGUGGCGAGCUGACCCAGAUUUCCCUGAGGGGUGGAAAGAUCCUGAUAAAGUUCCUCUGAAGAGAACAGCGUUGCUGUGAUAACACCAGGAGGAGCCUUUGAUCCACUCUGCAGCAUCUUCGUCUUCAGUUUCAAGGUUUACAGCAAGCUGUAAUCUGACAUCCCUUCCACUUCCUGUCCGGCACCCCGUCCCACAGUGCAACAGGCUCCAGCGAUAGCCAUCAGCCACACAAAGAAAUUUUAACCCCAACACCACUCCGGAAAUACCUUCUCUGCAUCUGUCUUUCCCACCCAGUUUGUCCUUUCUGAUGCCCUCUGCCUCUUUCCUUUCUCUUCAAAUUUACAAGAACUUCCCUCCUGCCUGUCACGGUUCCUCCCACACAACAAAAUCUCUAUUCUGCGUGUCGUGAGUUAUUUUUGAAAAUCCAAGUGGUGCAAAAAGUUUUAAAAGGCACCAUCAGCUGAAUUUCUCAUCAGUGGCUCCUCAACAGCGCUCUAGCCUGUCCUCACACAGGGACAGCAAUAUUUAUUCGAAACUAAAACAGAGAGAGAUGAGAACGCGAUAAGAUGAAAUAGGAGGAAAUGCUGAUUCAGGAGUUAUCAAUCCAGUCUGAACAUAUGUGUGAAUUUUACCAAAGUGUACUGUAUUUUUAAUCACUUUCUUUUUUCUCUUCAAGCUUCACUUUAGACUCUUUCUUUCUUUUUCUUUUACCCCUUCCUCACCCAUUUCCCUGGUUACCUCCAUUUCUCCAUCAUUAUCCUACUUUCCACAACAUUCCUGACCCCUUGCUUCCUGUAAUCCUGUGUAUCUAGCAAAGAGGUUAUUUCUCUUGUGUCAUUAGACAUGCAAACAUUGUGGUUUUAAAAAGGCGGCUAAAACAGAGCUUUGGUGCACCUCCAGCAAUAAAACAGAGUGGGAGUUGGCCUGUGACAAAUCAAAGUAAGAUUAAAUGAGAAGGUGUCUCAGGGUGUACAGGAAGAAUCAGAAGAGAGAGUGAUGAGAGGCUUGCUUUUGUUUAAUCAAGAGAAAAAUAUUUAAAAGCGAUGUAAACAGAGACACCUCACUGUCAGAGCAAACCAGGGCAGCUAGAGAAGAAACAACAAAUUAGAAGAAGGUUUUUCAGCCUGUCCAACCGAAACCUAUACUGCCUGGUGCUUUGAAUCUUGUGAGAUACAAUACUGAGAAAAAGUGCUAGAUGCAGAAUUUGAUAAGGUACCCACUAAAAAAUCUUCAGUCACAUUAUUUUUAAAACCAUGGCGCUAUCAAGAAGGCCAAGUUGUUUUCCAUCAGUUAUUUCAAAAUUGUAAUGUCAUGUUUGUUUGCGUCAAGUUGUGUGAACAUGGAAGCAAAGUUUGUGAUGUUAUGAAAUAAAAUGAAUGAGAAAUA